rnacentral:lncRNA from 1 species
UGGGAGCUGUAGUACGCUCCCUGUGCCCACUUUCCUGGGCCGGGGUAGCGCUCUAGGGCAGAAGGGUAAACUCAGACACAAGGAGGGCUCUUAGAAAUGUGUGAGGAGACUGGUGAUCAGGCAAGGAUAUUAAAGGAAGAGAAUGUGGGGCUGAGAAAAGUUAUCUAUUGCUCAAUUGGACCUCUCCAGUUUCUGUGAGACAAUGUCCUUUUCCAUGAAAUUUUGAGGUCACCUUGUAUCUUUUAAGUGCUGAGAGAAGGACCCAGUGAGCCCGGAGUCUGGAGCAGAGCAGGCCACCUGUGAUGGCAAAGGAGAGUUCUGUUCCAGGCUGAACAUAGCAUACAGCAAGUGGAUGAUGUCCAAGGCAAUUCCUGGGUCUAGAAAUCCAUCAAGAAUGAUGCCUGGAGUCCAGAUCAGAGGAUCCUGAAUCAUCUGCCCUUUUCUCAAAGUGAGGAACAAAGCAGUGAGACUUGGCUCUCUAGUUGUUUUUCUCCUACCCAGCCUCAAACCUGGCCAUGUCUCAGAAUUAAGCACUGGAAAAGAGAAGAAGCACAACUCACUUUGGU